rnacentral:rRNA from 1 species
GACGAACGCUGGCGGCGUGCUUAACACAUGCAAGUCGAACGGAAAGGCCCUGCUUUUGUGGGGUGCUCGAGUGGCGAACGGGUGAGUAACACGUGAGUAACCUGCCCUUGACUUUGGGAUAACUUCAGGAAACUGGGGCUAAUACCGGAUAGGAGCUCCUGCUGCAUGGUGGGGGUUGGAGAGUUUCGGCGGUUGGGGAUGGACUCGCGGCUUAUCAGCUUGUUGGUGGGGUAGUGGCUUACCAAGGCUUUGACGGGUAGCCGGCCUGAGAGGGUGACCGGCCACAUUGGGACUGAGAUACGGCCCAGACUCCUACGGGAGGCAGCAGUGGGGAAUAUUGCACAAUGGGCGGAAGCCUGAUGCAGCAACGCCGCGUGCGGGAUGACGGCCUUCGGGUUGUAAACCGCUUUCGCCUGUGACGAAGCGUGAGGGACGGUAAUGGGUAAAGAAGCACCGGCUAACUUCGGU